GGCAAAGUGGCCGAGUGGUUAAGGCGCUGUGUUUAGGAAUUUACUCCUAUUAUCCGCAGUGGGAAACCUCGCGAGUUCGAAUCUCGUCUUUGUCA